CCAUCAUUACAUGAUCAUCAAAAGAGGAUGGGUCCCAAUAUAUAUUGAUCAAAAAAUAUUUAUGCAUUGAAAUAACGUAUCUGGAUUUGAAUUUCAACGUAAUCAACGUGAAGUUCUUGACAUUGAAUCUUUGAUUUAGAAUUUUUAACAUUGAAAAAUAAAGCUGAAUAGGAGUUCAAUUCAAAUCCAAAUACGUUAUUUCAAUGCAUAAAUAUUCAGUGCUUAGAGUUCAAUGGCUUUUUAUUUUCAAAAUCCGAUGGCACAGAUUUACUUCCAUAGCAGUGACUCAAACAUUUUGUGGUUCAGAGGGCAUAUCGGUUUCCACCAUAGGUUUCUACAGGAAAAAAAUCUGUGUGGGGGAAUCUAGAGAGGUAUGGAAGCGCGCAAUAAUUUGCAGCGUCAGAAUUCUGAGAAUUUAGUCAGCAUUUCAGAUUUCUCAGAAUUCUCUGACACUGCAAAUUAAAGCGCUACUACCAGCAAACUACUUUCAGCGUGACUGGAGAGAACUUCCUUAAAUUAACCUUUAAUGCUAUAUUUGCAUGAACGCUAUUGUGUGAAUUAGUUUGGUUCUCUUUCAUGGAAGCCGGAAGUGGGAGAUUCCUGGGGCUUGCCCCAUGAAUUCAACCCAUGCACACGCUCACACGCCACACUUCAAAUAUAUAGCGUAUAAAAAGUGGCUGGUAAAAAAGAUGAGUGGCUGGUAGAUUUUUAAAUCUACCUGCCACAGUGG